CGGGGGGGGGUACUAUACAUGCAGUAGAACGCUGAAGAGAGGAGCUUGCUCUUCUUGGAUGAGUUGCGAACGGGUGAGUAACGCGUAGGUAACCUGCCUUGUAGCGGGGGAUAACUAUUGGAAACGAUAGCUAAUACCGCAUAACAAUGGAUGACACAUGUCAUUUAUUUGAAAGGGGCAAUUGCUCCACUACAAGAUGGACCUGCGUUGUAUUAGCUAGUAGGUGAGGUAAUGGCUCACCUAGGCGACGAUACAUAGCCGACCUGAGAGGGUGAUCGGCCACACUGGGACUGAGACACGGCCCAGACUCCUACGGGAGGCAGCAGUAGGGAAUCUUCGGCAAUGGGGGCAACCCUGACCGAGCAACGCCGCGUGAGUGAAGAAGGUUUUCGGAUCGUAAAGCUCUGUUGUAAGUCAAGAACGGGUGUGAGAGUGGAAAGUUCACACUGUGACGGUAGCUUACCAGAAAGGGACGGCUAACUACGUGCCAGCAGCCGCGGUAAUACGUAGGUCCCGAGCGUUGUCCGGAUUUAUUGGGCGUAAAGCGAGCGCAGGCGGUUUGAUAAGUCUGAAGUUAAAGGCUGUGGCUCAACCAUAGUUCGCUUUGGAAACUGUCAAACUUGAGUGCAGAAGGGGAGAGUGGAAUUCCAUGUGUAGCGGUGAAAUGCGUAGAUAUAUGGAGGAACACCGGUGGCGAAAGCGGCUCUCUGGUCUGUAACUGACGCUGAGGCUCGAAAGCGUGGGGAGCGAACAGGAUUAGAUACCCUGGUAGUCCACGCCGUAAACGAUGAGUGCUAGGUGUUGGAUCCUUUCCGGGAUUCAGUGCCGCAGCUAACGCAUUAAGCACUCCGCCUGGGGAGUACGACCGCAAGGUUGAAACUCAAAGGAAUUGACGGGGGCCCGCACAAGCGGUGGAGCAUGUGGUUUAAUUCGAAGCAACGCGAAGAACCUUACCAGGUCUUGACAUCCCGAUGCUAUUUCUAGAGAUAGAAAGUUACUUCGGUACAUCGGUGACAGGUGGUGCAUGGUUGUCGUCAGCUCGUGUCGUGAGAUGUUGGGUUAAGUCCCGCAACGAGCGCAACCCCUAUUGUUAGUUGCCAUCAUUCAGUUGGGCACUCUAGCGAGACUGCCGGUAAUAAACCGGAGGAAGGUGGGGAUGACGUCAAAUCAUCAUGCCCCUUAUGACCUGGGCUACACACGUGCUACAAUGGUUGGUACAACGAGUUGCGAGUCGGUGACGGCGAGCUAAUCUCUUAAAGCCAAUCUCAGUUCGGAUUGUAGGCUGCAACUCGCCUACAUGAAGUCGGAAUCGCUAGUAAUCGCGGAUCAGCACGCCGCGGUGAAUACGUUCCCGGGCCUUGUACACACCGCCCGUCACACCACGAGAGUUUGUAACACCCGAAGUCGGUGAGGUAACCUUUUGGAGCCAGCCGCGUAAGGUGACGAGG
rnacentral:rRNA from 1 species